rnacentral:tRNA from 1 species
GGAAAAAGAGGGAUUCGAC